rnacentral:lncRNA from 1 species
CUUGAGCCCAUCAUGGUCUUCUUUUAUGGGCCGGGUCUUCAUGGUGAUUUUUGCGUAUAACAACUACCCCCCAGAUCUUGGUGGCAUUGAAGAUGUCGACGAGAUCUUGAUGUCCUUCAUCUCCUGAGAUGUCCUAUCUUGGUUGUUCUUCGCUGAUGCAGAAGAUGUUGACGUUGUUUAACUUGGCGCGCCUUAUGUUGAAGAAAUUUCCUCUGAAGCCGAUGUUGAAGGAGGUGUUUGAAGAUGAAGAUGAUUCUGCCUAACGGGGGUGAAGGCAGUGUUUGCUUGAUAGAGACAAUGGCGAGGUUGCUGAGAAUGAGGCCGCGGAAGCCGAAGCUGAGUUGAUGAAGAUGAGGCCGCGGAAGCCGAGGCUGAAGGAGAGACCGCGGAAGCCAAGACUGAGUUGCUGAAGGAGAGGCCGCGGAAGCCAAGACUGAGUUGAUGAAGAUGAGGCCGCGGAAGCCGAGGAUGAAGGAGAGAUGAGGCCGCGGA